CAUUGACUGGUUUGUCCAAAUUCUAAUAGCAAUAAAGUAUAUACACAGUCUAAACAUUCUUCAUCGAGAUAUCAAAUCGCAAAACAUAUUUCUGACAAAGACAAGUUUAGUGAAAAUUGGAGAUUUUGGAGUCUCACGUUUUCUUAAUGGAAGUUUACAUCAAGCGCAAACAGCUAUUGGGACACCUUUCUAUUUAUCUCCGGAAAUUUGCCGAAGAAAACCAUACAACAACAAGAGUGACAUGUGGAGUCUAGGUGUACUACUAUAUGAGCUCUCUACACUCAAACAUCCGUUUCAAGCUGAUGACUUUUCCGGCUUAGUAAUACAAAUAAUACAAGGAAAAUAUCAACCCAUACCAGG
rnacentral:lncRNA from 1 species